rnacentral:rRNA from 1 species
ACGUAGGUGGCGAGCGUUGUCCGGAAUUAAUGGGUGUAAAGGGUGCGUAGGCGGGUUUGCAAGUCAGGCGUGAAAACUAUCGGCUCAACCGGUAGCCUGCGUUUGAAACUGUGAAUCUUGAGUGGUGAAGAGGUAAGCGGAAUUCCUAGUGUGGCGGUGAAAUGCGUAGAUAUUAGGAGGAGCACCCGUGGCAAAGGCUGCUUACUGGGCACUAACUGACGCUGAGGCACGAAAGCAUUUGGAGCAAACAG